UAGUUUUAUAUGAUAUUUUAAUUUAAAAAGAAACAUCUAAAACAGCAAUUAAAACUGCAGUUUUUUUUCUGUCAUAUGAUUCACUCAUGGUUAUAAUUCUCAACUUUUAAGAGCACUUAUACAAGAAACUACGAGUAGUUAAUAUAGACUGUUAGUUCAAAUGGUCAAAAUAUAGUAAACAGAUGUAUUUUAUUACCAUCUGGAAACUUUCCAAGAAUUUCGUCCUACAUGAAAUGUAAAUUGUUUCUAAGUUUAAGGUCAGCCACACCCACUUGUAAAGUUGAAGCUGUGUUGCUAAGCGAAAGUUUGAAAUUGAAAGGCAUGCUUAUAACUAAUAGAAAGAGCAGAUUUCCAGCUAUUUACUUAAUAGCCAAAGAAACAUUACCAAUAUAUGGAUUGGUACUAUGAAAUAGAAAAGAAGCUUAGUCCAUUGUUCUCUUGAGGUGUACAUAGCACUUGGCAAGUGUUUCUCACCUUGUUGUUCAUAUUCUGCCAUGGUUAUGCAUAAACCAUUACAAUGAAAUUUAGUUUGGACAUUGUGCCUGUUUGAUAAGAUUGGGUCAAGUUUGUUCUCACAUUGGUGAAUUGUAAUUUAUGGUUGAGGUUGCUGUGAAGAUGAUAUUGUCUGCAACAUAUACCUACAUUCCCUACCAGAGGCUAGCUUGCCUUAUCAGGAAUAAGUGAUUUAGAUUUUACAUUGCCUAGUCAUAAAUGAAAACCAAUUUACAAAAAUAUUGCUUGCAUGUAGCCAUCAACAGAGAAGAUAUUCUCAUGAUAUUGCACAAUGGUUCUGAAUUUUAAGUAAGUUCUUCGAUCAGAGUUAGUUUCUAAACACAAACUGCAGAAUCUUUACAAGUCAAUUAUCAUACCAGGAUUUACAACUACCAAAAACAGGAUCCAGCCAAAACUCUCACAGCAUGAAACUCUGACACAUGCUCCAUAAGACGUUUUUAUCAUGAAUGCAUGGAUCUCAAAGUUGUUCAAAAAAGUUGAUGUGCUCUGGAUGUAAUACUCUCUCCAAAAGAAAGCAAUUGAUGAAUUGAAAUUAUGAUAUAUUUUUUACACAAGUGUUCUGUACACACAUCAUACAACCUAUGUAAUUUGAGCUGGUUUGUGUGAAAUUCCUUUCAUCCUUUAUUUGAGAAUAUUAUCAUUUCUGACAUA